CAGCCUGCCCAGUGACACAACUGUUAAACGGCCGCGGUACUCUGACCGUGCGAAGGUAGCAUAAUCACUUGUUCUUUAAAUGGGGACUAGUAUCAACGGUGCCACGAGGGCUUCCCUGUCUCCUUUUUCCAAUCAGUGAAACUGAUCUCCCUGUGAAGAAGCAGGGAUACUAAUAUAAGACGAGAAGACCCCAUGGAGCUUUAAACUCAACAGACAACCCGACACAUAUUUUUUCAUCUUAGUCAUCAAAAAGCCAUGUUUGUUAGUUUUAGGUUGGGGUGACCAUGGAGUAAAACUUAACCUCCACGACGCACGGGACUUGCUACUCCCUUAUCCAAGAGCCACGACUCUAAGAAUUAAAAUAUUAACGUAAAAUGAUCCAAGCAUUUGAUCAACGGACCAAGUUACCCUGGGGAUAACAGCGCAAUCCAUUUCGAGAGCUCCUAUCGACAAGUGGGUUUACGACCUCGAUGUUGGAUCAGGGUAUCCCAGUGGUGCAGCCGCUACUAAUGGUUUGUUUGUUCAACAAUUAAAACCCUACGUGAUCU
rnacentral:rRNA from 1 species